AGUGAACGCUGGCGGUAGGCCUAACACAUGCCAGUCGAACGGCAGCACAGUAAGAGCUUGCUCUUACGGGUGGCGAGUGGCGGACGGGUGAGGAAUACAUCGGAAUCUACUUUUUCGUGGGGGAUAACGUAGGGAAACUUACGCUAAUACCGCAUACGACCUACGGGUGAAAGCAGGGGAUCUUCGGACCUUGCGCGAUUGAAUGAACCGAUGUCGGAUUAGCUAGUUGGCGGGGUAAAGGCCCACCAAGGCGACGAUCCGUAGCUGGUCUGAGAGGAUGAUCAGCCACACUGGAACUGAGACACGGUCCAGACUCCUACGGGAGGCAGCAGUGGGGAAUAUUGGACAAUGGGCGCAAGCCUGAUCCAGCCAUACCGCGUGGGUGAAGAAGGCCUUCGGGUUGUAAAGCCCUUUUGUUGGGAAAGAAAAGCAGCAGGUUAAUACCCCGCUGUUCUGACGGUACCCAAAGAAUAAGCACCGGCUAACUUCGUG
rnacentral:rRNA from 1 species